ensembl:lncRNA
GCUCAGAUACAACCCCUGUCCCAGAGGAAAGGAGAGAGGAGGGGAGGCUUAAGACCCAGAUGAAGAGAUAAACCCCUCCUCUCCCACACAACUAUACAUCACCCGCUUCUCCGAGUCGGAGGAAGAGAGGAUAGAGGGAUAGAGUGAGAGAAAGACAGAGAGAAAGACAGGAGGGACACGACAUUGCCAUGGUAACCAGAGUGGGCUGAAAGAGUGUGGAGACCAGGCGAGGUUUGGAACGCUACGUGUUAAAGGAUCCCCACGACUGCCUACUCACUCCGUGGAGCUACAAGAGUUUUCACAAUAAUAUGGGUCAUAUUUAAACAUUGAUGGGACAAGAGUAGAA